AAAAAAAAUCGAAAAUAGCGCGAUCAGCGGUUUACGAAAAAGUAAAAUUUUGGAAAGUUUUUCAAUUUCAGUCAAUUUUCAGUAUUUUGAGUUUUUUAAACUGUAACAAGGUGGUGUCCCAAAAGAUUUUGUUGUGCAUAAGUGGCGAUAGUUCACACUGAUAACGUUCAAGAAGUUACAUGAAAUUUGACACCCUACACAACUUGCAGCAAAGUUUCUUUCGAUAUACCGUCAAAUUAACUAAUAAAUAAUAAUGAGGUCUUCAAGAAAACGUAGUAGGACAAAACAGUUGAAGCAUUUGCAGCCCAAAUGUGUGGUGUGUGAAAGAAAGGCAUGCAUUGAUGAUGCACCUAAGAU